CCUACGGGAGGCUGCAGUGAGGAAUAUUGGUCAAUGGACGCAAGUCUGAACCAGCCAAGUAGCGUGCAGGAUGACGGCCCUCCGGGUUGUAAACUGCUUUUAGUUGGGAAUAAAAGGGGGCUCGUGAGCCCCGUAUUGUAUGUACCAUCAAAAAAAGUACGGUCUAAUUCUGUGCCAGGAGCCGCGGUAAUACGGAGGGUCCGGGCGUUAUCCGGAUUUAUUGGGUUUAAAGGGAGCGUGGGCCGGCUUUUAAGUCUGCUGUGAAAGUCCGCGGCUCAACCGUGGAAUUGCAGUUGAAACUGGAGGCCUUGAGUGCACUAAGGGAUGCCGGAAUUCAUGGUGUAGCGGUGAAAUGCUUAGAUAUCAUGAAGAACUCCGAUCGCGAAGGCAAGUGUCCGGGGUGCAACUGACGCUGAGGCUCGAAAGUGCGGGUAUCAAACAGGAUUAGAUACCCCAGUAGUC
rnacentral:rRNA from 1 species